ensembl:lncRNA
CUGGAACAUGUCUUAUUCACUGUGUCCUGAUUCAAGUCCUGCUUAUCACAGUCUAUGCUCGUAAGUAAAAUUUAUUCUUAUUCAGAUGAAAGUUUCACUACUGAGCCACAUGCUCAAACACCAAAGGUGGAUGAUGAGUCACAUCUGUCCUGUGUGUGUGUGUGUGUGUGUGUGUGUGUGUGUGUGUGUGUGUGUGUGAUGCUAUUACACUUUAUUCACCUUUUUUUUAUUUUAUUUUAUUUUAUUUUUUCUACAGAAUUUCCAACAAACUGUGCAAAUCAAGCUACCACUGAGGGAAAACCAGUACAUCUAACCUGCAAUGUUACAUGUAAAAAAUGUGAAUUAGACAGCUAUACUUGGAAGCAUGGAGAAACUAAAAUCAACUGCAGUAAAAUGCGUAACUUUACUAGUGGCAACAGUCAUAUAUUUCAUUGCAUAAAUGAAAGUGCAUCAGCGAGUCACAGUGGAACAUUUACAUUUUGGGUACAAAUGAAAGAAGGAAUUGGUGAAACAAAAUUCAGCGUGACCAUAGAGCGGCCUGCUGCUAAUCUCACCACACCAGGUCCUGUUUCUACAACCAAUUCUCACGGUCAUGAAGAGAAACUUAAGACUUCACCUAAGGGUCGUUCACCUGAAGUUGCCUUGGCUGUAUUGUUCAUGAUUUGUCUUGCCUUAGGCCUCAUUGUUGCUGUUUUGUUUAUAAGAAAUAAAAACUGUAAUAUGUCAAUUUCAUCAAUAUUCACUCACAAAAUGAUCACAGAAACUGAAAUAAUAUAAUCCCAAUACAUACAGUAGUUGUGACACUGUCCCAAGCUCAGAAAGAUAAGCUUUCUUUAUGUCAGUCUCUGUCAUGGCAGAGGGAGAUUAAGGAAAUUAAGGAAAAAGGGGGAAAUUGUACAGUUAAGGGGAAAAUAUAAUCCCAUAUAUGUAGCAGAUUCUUUUCUUUCUUUCUUUUUCUAACGCUUCAUUUCUAGUUUCAGUGAAAUAUUUAUCUCUUACUUAUCACUGUGUGAUGCUUUUCAAUUGCUAAUGGAUUGGUGUGAACUGACUCCUUUUCUGAUUUUGAGAUUUUGUGGGAUCUGUUUUUAAACAUCUGUGGUGAUUUUUACCCGUAGCUUUUUUACAAUUAUUUACCUUCUCAGAAUGAAAAAGGUAACAUACCGUACAAACAUUUCUCACUGCUGUAAUAUACUCGAGAACAUGUUGUUUAUACUGUUACUUAUAUAAAUACAAAUAUAUAGUAUUAUAAUUAAUGGUAUAUAAUCUUUAAGAACAACUGUUGUACCUUUGACAACAAAAAUACUUGUACAGGGCUUUUUCACAGAACUCACUGUAAUCUGUGAUUUAAUUUUUUUUAAUACUAAUACUAAUACUACUAAUAAUAAUACAUGGCGGAGCAGAACACUGAAUAGAUUUUGGUGUUGCAGUUUUGUGUACUUUUGUAUAUUGUGUAUUCUGUUGUAUUGCCAGUUCUGUUGUAUUGUGUGCUUUUUUACUGUAAAUGUGAAUAUAUUAAUAAAUGUACAGAAUUCACACAGUUCUUGGGUGUUUAUAAUUCUACUGUGAUGAGAAUUUGCUCAGGCAAUGAUAUACCAACAAAAUGUAAAAUAAGACUGGUGAACAUGUGCAUUCAUGUCCCUCAGCACAAAGCCAGAUCUGUGGGAGGUGGAGGAUGUUUAUCUUGGGGUGGUUUAGUAGACAUUUAUAAAGAUCACAACAAAAAUGUUUACUUUUAUUAAUGUUUUUAGAAUGUCACAGAGGAACGGGAACAUGAAACACAGAUAAAAAUCCAGCUGUAACAGAUGUUCCCUUAUGGUGUACAUCAAAGAAAUAUGUUUUCCUCUCUUCUAGACCAGUUACAAUGUGACUUGUUUAAAUUUCAUUUUAAUAUUAAAUAUCAGGGUUGAAUGCUUACCUGGAUGUCAUUAUCCUUCUGCCUCAGACAGGUAGAGCUAACUAGUGGGAAGUAAUUGAACAUCUAACGCUCAUGAUGCUGAUUUUGAUUUUCAGACAUCUGAAAUUUGUUACCUCUCGAAGCCACAAAAGUUGCCUGAUGGAAAACUGAGAAAUCUCACCAAGCUUUGGUUCACUCCACUUAUAACUGACCUUUUGAUGUAUUUUGUAUUGGGUUCUCUGGAACAUUGAUGACCUCUGAGAGUGUGUUAGAUUUAACAGGUCGCUUCAAAUAGAAAGAGCUGAUCUGCUUCACAGAACCAAGUAGAUGCACUUUGCACACUUUCUGUCUUGACAACCUUCACUAGUUUGAACUUGUGAUGCUACUUUGCAGGUCGUAUAUAAUGCGUAGUCCUGGGACAAAAAUGUUUUUGACCAUCUCAAACCCUGGUAGUCAGUAAUGGGAAUGGGGACACUAGAGAAAGGCUUAGGAGAG